GCAACAUAUAGAUCAGGCUGGUGUAGUACAGAAAACAGUUCCACGUACCAACUAUACAGAGCAGGGUCAUGCACAGCAGUUGGAUUCUAAUCAAAUCAAACUUUAUUAGUCACAUGACCCCGAAUACAAAAAAAAAGUGUAGACCUCACAGUGGAAUGCUGACUUAUGAGCCCCUAACCAAUAGGUGUAGACCUCACAGUGGAAUGCUGACUUAUGAGCCCCUAACCAAUAGGUGUAGACCUCACAGUGGAAUGCUGACUUAUGAGCCCCUAACCAAUAGGUGUAGACCUCACAGUGGAAUGCUGACUUAUGAGCCCCUAACCAAUAGGUGUAGACCUCACAGUGGAAUGCUGACUUAUGAGCCCCUAACCAACAACGUAGUUGUAUAUGGAUAAGAAUAAGCAAUAAAAGUAACCCCAUAUUCAAGUAACCUAAUUAAAGAGCAGCAGUAAACUAACAAUAGUGAGACUAUAUACAGGGGGUAACGGUACAGAGUCAAUGUGGAGGCUAUAUACAGGGGGUACCGGUACAGAGUCAAUGUGGAAGCUAUAUACAGGGUGUUACGGUACAGAGUCAAUGUGGAGGCUAUAUACAGGGGGGUACCGAUACAGAGUCAAUGUGGAGGCUAUAUACAGGGGGUACCGGUACAGAGUCAAUGUGGAGGCUAUAUACAGGGGGUACCGGUACAGAGUCAAUGUGGAAGCUAUAUACAGGGUGUUACGGUACAGUCAAUGUGGAGGCUAUAUACAGGGGGUACCGGUACAGAGUC
ensembl:lncRNA